GGCUGCCAUUUUUACUGUUUGGAUCAUUGUGCAUGCAGAGUGCUUUUACUGUGGACUGCUGGCAAUAUUAUCCUUGAGCGUUGGGUUAUUCAGAGCUGGUUGGCAAGGGAAGGUUCGGGUUUUCGUUUGUAUCCUUCUUGGAGACCUUGCUGGGAAAAAAACAAAGUGGGAAAUCACAAAUGUUGCUGUUGUGAACCAAGCCUGGCUAUUGGUAUGCAGGCUUGGCCUUGCCUCUUUGUUUUCUCGGCUGUGUGUUAUUCCAGCCGAAGGAGGAGAAGAAGAAUAAAUUCG
rnacentral:lncRNA from 1 species